UACAGGGGGUGCAAACGUUGCUCGGAAUCAUUGGGCGUAAAGCGCACGUAGGCGGUUCGUUAUGUCGGAUGUGAAAGCCCUUGGCUUAACCGAGGAAGUGCAUCCGAAACUGGCGAGCUAGAGUACUAAAGAGGAUCGCGGAAUUCCCGGUGUAGCAGUGAAAUGCGUAGAGAUCGGGAGGAACACCAGUGGCGAAGGCGGCCUUCUGGACCAAUACUGACGCUCAUGCACGAAAGCGUGGGGAGCAAACAGG
rnacentral:rRNA from 1 species